GGCGCGGUAGCUCAGGUGGUCAGAGCGACGGAUUCAUAACCCGUAGGUCGGCGGUUCAAGUCCGCCUCGCGCCA
rnacentral:tRNA from 1 species